rnacentral:rRNA from 1 species
AAUAGAUACCCCUGGUAGUCCACCCCGUAAACGUUGGGAACUAGUUGUGGGGUCCUUUCCACGGAUUCCGUGACGCAGCUAACGCAUUAAGUUCCCCGCCUGGGGAGUACGGCCGCAAGGCUAAAACUCAAAGGAAUUGACGGGGACCCGCACAAGCGGCGGAGCAUGCGGAUUAAUUCGAUGCAACGCGAAGAACCUUACCAAGGCUUGACAUACACGAGAACACCCCCAGAAAUGGGGGACUCUUUGGACACUCGUGAACAGGUGGUGCAUGGUUGUCGUCAGCUCGUGUCGUGAGAUGUUGGGUUAAGUCCCGCAACGAGCGCAACCCUCGUUCUAUGUUGCCAGCACGUAAUGGUGGGAACUCAUGGGAUACUGCCGGGGUCAACUCGGAGGAAGGUGGGGAUGACGUCAAAUCAUCAUGCCCCUUAUGUCUUGGGCUUCACGCAUGCUACAAUGGCCGGUACAAAGGGCUGCAAUACCGUGAGGUGGAGCGAAUCCCAAAAAGCCGGUCCCAGUUCGGAUUGAGGUCUGCAACUCGACCUC